GACGAACGCUGGCGGCGUGCUUAACACAUGCAAGUCGAACGGAAAGGCCCUGCUUUUGUGGGGUGCUCGAGUGGCGAACGGGUGAGUAACACGUGAGUAAACUGCCCUUGACUUUGGGAUAACUUCAGGAAACUGGGGCUAAUACCGGAUAGGAGCUCCUGCUGCAUGGUGGGGGUUGGAAAGUUUCGGCGGUUGGGGAUGGACUCGCGGCUUAUCAGCUUGUUGGUGGGGUAGUGGCUUACCAAGGCUUUGACGGGUAGCCGGCCUGAGAGGGUGACCGGCCACAUUGGGACUGAGGUACGGCACAGGCUCCGAAGGGAGGCAGAAGUGGGGAAUAUUGCACAAGGGGCGGAAGCCGGAUGCAGCAGCGCCGCGGGCGGGAUGACGGCCUUAGGGUUGUAGACCGCUUGUGCCUGUGACGAAGCGUGAGUGACGGUAAUGGGUACAGAAACACCGGCUAACUACGUU
rnacentral:rRNA from 1 species